UACGAAGGGGGCUAGCGUUGCUCGGAAUUACUGGGCGUAAAGAGCGUGUAGGCGGUUCGGUAAGUCUGCCGUGAAAUCCUGGGGCUCAACCCCGGGCGUGCGGUGGAUACUGCCGGGGCUAGAGGGUGGUAGAGGCGAGUGGAAUUCCGCGUGUAGCAGUGAAAUGCGUAGAUAUGCCGGAGGAACACCGAUGGCGAAGGCAUCCCCUGGGCCUGCACUGACGCUCAUGCACGAAAGCGUGGGGAGCAACAGG
rnacentral:rRNA from 1 species